UUGAUACAUCAUCAAGCAUCAAUAAGAAAUAUGAUGGCUUUACUCAACAGCAAAUUUAAGUACACCUUUAUUCUUUACUCUUUGUCGAGCCAGUCACACAAUAGAUGUAAAGCAUAAUAUGACCGUUAGUUUCUAAAAUCAAAUGGAGAAUUUCACAGCUUCUUUCCAUUUCACUAUUUCAUUCACCAUUUCACUACUCCUAUUUUUGUGUAUAAAUACAUAUCCAUUUCACAAACCACUCACCAACAACAACAAAUCACGUUUCAUUUCAGCUACUACUCUUUUUUUACACUCUCUCUCUUUCUCUCUUUUUUUCCAACCAGAUCUGGAACUUGUAUCUUCUCCUCUACCAAUCGCAUCUAGGUUGCUUACGUUCUUUGGAGAAGGUUUUAUUUACUAAAUUUAUUAAGGUAAAAUAUUCUUCUGAUACACUUUUAUCUUUUUCAUUCAUCAUUAUUACCUUUCUCUUCCUCUCACUCUUUUUAAGUCAAUUCCACGUUGCUACACAUGAAAUGCAUAUCUUGUACACUUUUUAACUAAGCUGUUUCAUUAAUAAAAUAUAUAUUUUUGAAAUUUUAAUAUCUUGUACAUUUUUUAAAUAUAUAUUACUACACAUGAAAUGCAUAUCUAAAAUUUAAUCUCUAAAAUUGAACAAAAUGGCCACUUAACUAUAGAAAUUGAAUCUCUAAAUUUUUGUAUUCUUUAUUUAAAUCAAACCACUCAAAUUUUGAGAAUUGACAUAGUAGACUUUUAUGAUUUAGAUAUUACUCAUAUAAGUUAUUCUUCUAAGAAUUUUAUUAAUGUUAAAGUAGACUCACAUUAUUUUCAAGUACAAUUCCAAAUUGAAAACCAUACAAUAUCUUUGAGUGUGGUCCUCUUCUCAAUAAUUUAAGUUUGAAAGUUUUUGAUGUUAACAAUUGUAAUUUAAUAAAGAGUUGCUUGUAGAAGGUUUUAUUUUCUAAGACGCUCUUAUCUUUAUCAUUCUUUAUCAACACUUUUCUUUUCCUCACACUUUUCCUUAGUCAAUUCCAUGUUACCGUAGAUGAAAUGUACAUAUCUAGUGAACCUUUUAGCUUGACUAAUUUCAUUAAUAUAAUCUAUCCUUUUUGGAAUUUUAAUAUCCAACCAAACUACUACGGACAUCUAAAGUUCAAACUUGAUUGUCAAAAUAACCACUUGACUUAAGAAAUCAAAUCAAAAAAAUUUCACAUUCUUCAUUUAAAUUAAACCUCUCAAAUUUUGAGGAUUGCUAUAGUAGACUUUCAGGAUUUAAAUCUUAAUCAUAAAAGUUAUUAUUCUAAUAAUUAUAUUAAUGAUGACAUAGAUUUAAAUUUUUUCAAGUACACAUCCAACUAUCUAAACUAUACAUUAUUGUAUGUUUGAGUGUGAUACUCUUCUUAAUAAUGGGUCUAAAAAUUUCUAAUACAUUUUUUUUUCUAAUAGAGUAAACAACAUAGGUGUAUAUGUAGUUCCAAAUGUUAAAUGAGCAGAUUUCAUUGUUAUAAAAUAUAAAAAUAGAACCAUGAUUCUCAAAAUAAAAAAAAAUUCUACAAAUAACUCAUAAGUUGUGAUGAGUUUUUUAUAUAAAGAAUUUGAGGUUGAGUGGAGUGUGUGGAAGAAGCCAACUGCUGUGUUUGCAUAAAAUCGGGUGGGAUAUGCGACUUUAAAAAAAAUUUAAAAAUGCAGUUACAUGUCUCUCAAAGAGAUUCAUACCAAAAGAUAUUCAAGUACGAUAUCCUGCAUGAAUACUGAAGUACAAUAUUCAUGUCAGAUAUUAUACUUAACUGACCUUUUGGUAUGGAUCUCUUUGAGACAUAUAUAACUGUAUUUUCUAAUUUUUGAAACCACAUAUUCCACCUGAUUUUUUGCAAGCACGACAUUUGUCUUCUCCAACACCACUCUAGUUAAUCUCAAAUCCUUUAUAUAAAAUACUCAUCACAACUUCCGAGUUAUUGACAAAAUAUUCUUUUAUCAUAGGAAUCUUGGUUUUUUUUUAUACUUCAUAACAAUGAAAUCUCCAAAUUUAACUGUUGAAACUAUAUGUACAUUAUCUGUUGUGUUCCCUAUUAGAUAAAAAAUGACAUUAAAAAUUUUCAAAGACACAUUAUUAGGAAGAGUACCAUACUCAAACAUACAAUAUUGUACGAUUUUGAUAGUCGGAUGUGUACUUGAAAAAAUUUAAAUUUAUGUUAUCAUUAAUAUAAUUAUUAGAAUAAUAACUUUUAUGAUUAAGAUCUAAAUCCUUAAAUUCUAUUCUAGAAAUCCUCAAAAUUUGAGAGGUUUAAUUUAUACGAAGAAUAUGAAAUUUUUGUGAUUUGAUUUUUUAGUUAAAUAACUAUUUUGGCAAUCUAGUUUGAAUUUUGGGUGUCCGUAGUAGUUUGGUUGGAUAUUAAAAUUUCCAAAAGGAUAGGUUAUAUUAAUGAAAUUAACAAAGCUAAAAGGUUCACAAGAUAUGUACAUCUCAUCUACGGUAACAUAGAAUUGACUUAAGAGAAGUGUGAGAAAAAAAAAGUAUUGAUGAAGAAUGAAAAAGGUAAAAAUAUUUGAAAAUAAUAUUUUUUGAUAUUAACUUUAUUAGAAAAUAAAACCUUUUACUAGCAACUUCUUAUUAAAUUACAAUUCUUAGCAUACUAUUAGAUGAUGUAAUUAUUGAUUGUUGUUGUGUUGAGCUUACAAUCUACAUAUUUAGGCAUUGAUGCGGGGGGGAAAUAAAAAUAAUAGAUAACGGUAAAGUUUAGAUAAAAAAUAUAAAGGAACGAUAGUUAGGUGCCAUCAGUAAUAGCAAGUCAUCUCAAUUAAAUUGACUUUCAUUAUUCAAAAAGUGACACAAUGUUGAAGAUGCAUUUAGCUUUUAGAUGUUCACUACAAAGAAAUCAAUAAACCGCUAUAAAACUUUUUCCUGACAAUAAAGCAAUAAAAGAAAUACUUAUUCAACACACUAAUAUUACUAAAGUUUAAAUGAAUCCCAGAAAUUAAGUGUUUUUUGUAAGGAUGCACAUAUAUUCCCCAAAAUAACACAAAAAAGGAAAAACUAUGGUUUUUUUUUUCUUUUAAAAGGAAGCAACCUUUAUAGAAAUACUAGAGUUUCUUAGCAUGGAUUAAGAACCAUGAUUUUUGGUUUCCAGUGCUACUAAAUCAUCAAAUAAUACACAGUUAAGGGACAUUUACUUGACAACUUACUACUCAAUAUAUUGUAAUUAGACUUAACUCAGACAUAGUCUUCAUACAUCUUUGAGGCUUCCCCCUCGACUACUCAACAAUAAAAGACCGUUGGAGAGUGAACAAGGUUUUGGUGUAUUGUUGAAGGGAAACCAAAUUGCAAAGCCUAGUAAAAUAAAUGGUAGAAAGUGAUAAAAAAUCUUAAGUCAUUGAGUUUGAGAAAAAAAGUGAAACAAUAGUUUCAAAUGUAUUGAUUUUAUACUCGUAGAAACAUGAGCAUGGGAAUUCAUUUUAUGAUUAUCGAGAAAAAUGAACGGUUAUUGUUAUAUUUUAAUUUGUAAGAAAAUAAAUUUUUGCUAUUGUUGUUGUAAUUCAAACAUCUAUGAAGUGAUUGAUUAGAAUA